UACGAGGGGGCUAGCGUUGCUCGGAAUUACUGGGCGUAAAGCGCACGUAGGCGGUCUUUUAAGUCGGGGGUGAAAUCCUGGAGCUCAACUCCAGAACUGCCUUCGAUACUGGAAGACUCGAGUCCGGGAGAGGUGAGUGGAACUGCGAGUGUAGAGGUGAAAUUCGUAGAUAUUCGCAAGAACACCAGUGGCGAAGGCGGCUCACUGGCCCGGUACUGACGCUGAGGUGCGAAAGCGUGGGGAGCAAACAGGAAU
rnacentral:rRNA from 1 species